UACGUAGGGUGCAAGCGUUGUCCGGAAUUAUUGGGCGUAAAGAGCUCGUAGGCGGUCUGUCGCGUCGGCUGUGAAAUCCCGGAGCUCAACUCCGGGUCUGCAGUCGAUACGGGCAAACUGGAGUACUGCAGGGGAGACUGGAAUUCCUGGUGUAGCGGUGAAAUGCGCAGAUAUCAGGAGGAACCCCGGUGGCGAAGGCGGGUCUCUGGGCAGUAACUGACGCUGAGGAGCGAAAGCGUGGGAGCGAACAGG
rnacentral:rRNA from 1 species